GUCCGGAAUUAUUGGGCGUAAAGAGCUCGUAGGCGGUUUGUCGCGUCUGCUGUGAAAUCUGGGGGCUCAACCCCCAGCCUGCAGUGGGUACGGGCAGACUAGAGUGCGGUAGGGGAGAUUGGAAUUCCUGGUGUAGCGGUGGAAUGCGCAGAUAUCAGGAGGAACACCGAUGGCGAAGGCAGAUCUCUGGGCCGUAACUGACGCUGAGGAGCGAAAGCAUGGGGAGCGAACAGGAUUAGAUACCCUGGUAGUCCAUGCCGUAAACGUUGGGAACUAGAUGUGGGGACCAUUCCACGGUCUCCGUGUCGCAGCUAACGCAUUAAGUUCCCCGCCUGGGGAGUACGGCCGCAAGGCUAAAACUCAAAGGAAUUGACGGGGGCCCGCACAAGCGGCGGAGCAUGCGGAUUAAUUCGAUGCAACGCGAAGAACCUUACCAAGGCUUGACAUAUACCGGAAACGGCCAGAGAUGGUCGCCCCGCAAGGUCGGUAUACAGGUGGUGCAUGGUUGUCGUCAGCUCGUGUCGUGAGAUGUUGGGUUAAGUCCCGCAACGAGCGCAACCCUCGUUCUAUGUUGCCAGCACGUUAUGGUGGGAACUCAUAGGAGACUGCCGGGGUCAACUCGGAGGAAGGUGGGGAUGACGUCAAAUCAUCAUGCCCCUUAUGUCUUGGGCUUCACGCAUGCUACAAUGGCCGGUACAAAGGGCUGCGAUACCGUAAGGUGGAGCGAAUCCCAAAAAGCCGGUCUCAGUUCGGAUUGAGGUCUGCAACUCGACCUCAUGAAGUCGGAGUCGCUAGUAAUCGCAGAUCAGCAACGCUGCGGUGAAUACGUUCCCGGGCCUUGUACACACCGCCCGUCAAGUCAUGAAAGUCGGUAACACCCGAAGCCAGUGGUCACUAA
rnacentral:rRNA from 1 species